UCUUAUAAUACAGAGAUAGAUUUUUGUUUUAUUUUUAAUAUAUUUUUUCUAUAAAACACGUUUCCCCUAAGGAGAAAAAAAAAAUUAACCUACCCCUUUUAUAUUGCAUCUCAAAUAAAAAACUUCACUAUUAUUUUCUUCUCUAAUUUUUUUUCCCAAUCGGACGAUUAACCAAAAAAGCGCAUCGUCUUCUUCCUUUGGAAUCGGCACUUUUUUUCACCUUCAACUCGGCUUAUCUUAGCCACCGGCGCCGAUUCAAAAGGCCCGAACCACCUUGAAACCCGUAAAACCGGGAGAGACCCGAGUGAAAACGGUCUCUUCGUUUUCAAAAAAAUUGGCGGCCGGUUUUCUUUAAUUUUACCGGCGAUUUAAAAGGUUCUUAGCAAAGAUUGUGAAGCUUCUUUUUAUUCCGUCAAUCUUUUUGCAUAAUUUGUAAAGAGGGGAGUUCUAUGCCUAGGAUUUUCAAGUGAGAGGAUGGCAUGUUUUAGAAACUACUCAAAUGACACAAUCUCACAUGAUGCCUUGGAAGGCAAAAGCCAGGGACGGAACAGUGGUAGGAUUCUGAGCUCAGCAGAGAACGAGGACAUAGAUGGUACUUAUAGUGAAAGAGAAUUUGAUAUUAACAUGGAUGCACAGUAUCAAAGUGAUGGGGUUGGCAUUUCAAAUUCAGAGCAGAGUAGGCUGCAUCAUGAGGUGGCUACUGAUAAUGGUGCUGGCAUUUCAAAUUCCAAUUUUCAGCCAGCAGGAAGGAGAAUAGCACCUGGGAGAUGGGGUUCAACUUUUUGGAAGGACUGCCAGCCUAUGGAUCGCCAGGGUGGAUCUGAUUCUGGGCAGGAGUCAAAAUCUGACCAUAAGAAUUUGGAAGGUUCAGUAUAUAAUUCAUCAGAUGACAGGGAUGAUAGGUUAGAAUCAGAAGUUGACGAGGCACAAAAAGAAGUUGGCAAGUCUCAAAGGGGUCAUUCUGAUGUCCCUGCAGAUGAGAUGUUAUCUGAUGAAUACUAUGAACAAGAUGGGGAAGAGCAGAGUGAUACAAUGCAUUACAGUGGCUUUGGCAAUUCUGUCGGGUUAAAUACUAGGCCACAGUCAAAGCAUGUCUCUGUCAGUACCAAUGUGUCCAGGAGUUCAAGAGCAUUGAAUAAGCGUAACUAUGACAAUGAAGAUGAUAAUGACGACAACAAUGAUGAUGUAGAUGCAGAUUAUGAAGAGGAGGAAGAAGAAGAUGAAGAUGACCCUGAUGAUGUCGAUUUUGAGCCUGACUAUGGUCUUGCCAAUUCUCAUGCAGGGAAUAAGGAUAAAGACUGGGAUGGUGAAGAUUCUGAGGAAGAAGACAAUAGUCAUGGUGAUUUAGAUGUUUCAGAUGAAGAUGAUUCUUAUUAUAAAAAGAAACCUAAAGGUAGGCAACAGAUUAAAGUUGGACCUAAUGUAAAACCCACUAGAGAACAUAAGUCCUCCAAUCGACAAAGAAGAGGGAGAUCAUCUUUUGAGGAGGAUGAGUACUCAGCCGAGGAUUCUGAUAGUGAAAGCGAUGGGGAUUUCAAGAGUAUGGCAAGGAGAAGUGGAAAUAAUCAUAAAAUUAAUGCUCGUUCUAAUACAUUGACAAGCAUGGGAAGAAACAAUGAGGUUCGUACUUCUGGUAGGUCUGUUCGGAAAGUAUCAUAUGUUGAGAGUGAAGAAAGUGAAGAAAUUGAUGAAGGCAAGAAAAAAAAGACACGAAAGGAUGAAGCUGAAGAGGAAGAUGGUGACACAAUUGAAAAAGUGUUAUGGCAUCAACCAAAGGGCAUGGCUGAAGAUGCUAUUAGAAACAAUAGAUCUACAGAGCCUGUUUUAUUAAGCCACUUGUUUGUCUCUGAACCAGAUUGGAGCGAAAUGGAAUUCCUGAUAAAAUGGAAAGGCCAGUCACAUCUUCAUUGUCAGUGGAAAUCUAUUUCUGAGCUGCAAAAUCUUAGUGGUUUUAAGAAGGUUCUAAAUUACACUAAAAAGGUGAUGGAGGAUGUGAGAUACAGGAAGUCACUUUCACGUGAGGAGAUUGAAGUCAAUGAUGUGAGUAAGGAAAUGGACUUGGAUCUAAUCAAGCAAAAUAGUCAGGUGGAGAGAGUAAUUGUUGAUCGAAUCAGUAAAGAUGCCUUUGGGAAUGUGAUGUCAGAGUAUUUAGUCAAGUGGCAGGGAUUGUCUUAUGCAGAAGCAACCUGGGAAAAGGAUAUUGAUAUUCCAUUUGCUCAAGAUGCUAUUGAUGAGUAUAAGGCUCGUGAAGCUGCAAUGGCUGUGCAGGGGAAAAUGGUAGAUCACCAGCGUAAGAAGGGAAAAGCAAGUUUGCGGAAACUUGAUGAACAGCCAGAAUGGUUAAGGGGAGGAAAGCUUCGUGAUUAUCAGCUGGAGGGUUUGAAUUUUCUUGUCAACAGUUGGAGAAAUGAUACUAAUGUCAUCUUAGCUGAUGAGAUGGGUCUUGGUAAAACUGUGCAGUCUGUAUCUAUGCUUGGUUUUCUACAGAAUGCUCAACAAAUACCCGGCCCGUUUCUUGUGGUCGUACCAUUAUCCACACUGUCAAACUGGGCUAAAGAAUUUAGAAAGUGGCUUCCUGAUAUGAACAUUAUUGUAUAUGUUGGUACUCGUGCCAGCCGAGAGGUUUGUCAGCAAUAUGAAUUUUACAAUGACAAGAAAAUUGGCAGACCUAUAAAAUUUAAUGCCCUGCUGACUACUUAUGAAGUAGUUCUGAAGGAUAAAGCAGUACUGUCUAAGAUAAAAUGGAACUAUUUGAUGGUUGAUGAAGCUCAUAGGUUGAAGAAUAGUGAGGCGCAGUUGUACACAACUCUUUCGGAAUUUAGCACUAAGAACAAGUUGCUAAUUACUGGAACUCCAUUACAAAACAGUGUGGAGGAGCUAUGGGCUCUGCUUCAUUUCCUUGAUCCCGACAAGUUCAAAAAUAAGGAUGAUUUUGUUCAAAAUUACAAGAAUCUUAGUUCGUUUAAUGAAAUUGAGCUUGCUAAUCUUCACAUGGAAUUGAGGCCUCACAUUCUUCGAAGGGUUAUCAAAGAUGUAGAGAAGUCUUUGCCUCCAAAAAUUGAGCGUAUCCUUAGGGUUGAGAUGUCCCCACUUCAGAAACAGUAUUAUAAGUGGAUUUUGGAACGCAACUUCCAUGACUUAAAUAAAGGUGUUCGUGGCAAUCAGGUGUCGCUUUUAAAUAUAGUAGUCGAGCUGAAGAAAUGCUGCAAUCAUCCCUUCCUGUUUGAAAGUGCUGAUCAUGGUUAUGGUGGGGACACUGGCAUGAAUGAUAUUAGUAAACUGGAGAGAAUUAUAUUAAGCAGUGGGAAGCUUGUUAUACUUGACAAGUUGCUUAUGAGGUUGCAUGAAACGAAGCAUCGUGUUUUAAUCUUUUCCCAGAUGGUUAGAAUGCUGGAUAUAUUAGCCGAGUACAUGUCACUCAGAGGGUUCCAAUUCCAGAGGCUUGAUGGUAGUACAAAGGCGGAGUUGCGGCAGCAGGCUAUGGAUCAUUUCAAUGCACCUGGAAGUGAUGAUUUUUGCUUCCUUCUUUCUACUCGGGCUGGUGGGCUCGGUAUCAACCUGGCAACUGCAGACACUGUCAUAAUAUUUGAUUCUGACUGGAACCCCCAGAAUGACUUACAGGCAAUGAGUAGAGCUCACAGAAUUGGGCAACAAGAAGUUGUCAACAUUUACAGAUUUGUGACUAGCAAAAGUGUUGAGGAAGACAUCCUGGAGCGAGCUAAGAAGAAGAUGGUGCUUGACCAUUUGGUGAUCCAAAAGUUAAAUGCAGAGGGUAGACUGGAAAGAAAGGAAACAAAGAAAGGGGCUUAUUUUGACAAGAAUGAAUUAUCAGCAAUUUUGAGAUUUGGAGCUGAAGAAUUGUUCAAAGAGGAUAAAAAUGAUGAAGAAAGCAAAAAAAGGCUGUUAAGUAUGGAUAUUGAUGAAAUUCUUGAAAGAGCAGAAAAGGUUGAGGAGAAAGUCAGUGAAGAGGAAGGGAAUGAAUUGUUGAGUGCUUUUAAGGUUGCAAAUUUCUGUAGUGCUGAAGAUGAUGGGUCUUUCUGGAGUCGUUGGAUAAAACCAGAUGCCAUUGCCCAAGCAGAAGAUGCUCUAGCUCCUCGUGCUGCAAGAAAUACCAAGAGUUAUGCUGAGACAAGUCAACCUGAGAGAAGUAACAAAAGAAAGAAGAAGGGAUCUGAUCUUCAAGAGCAGCAGGAGAGAGUUCCAAAGCGCCGUAAAGCAGAAUACUCUGCCCCCUCGGCACCAAUGAUUGAGGGAGCAACUGCUCAAGUGAGAGGAUGGUCUUAUGGGAAUUUGCCUAAGAGAGAUGCAUUGCGUUUUUCUCGAGCGGUUAUGAAAUUCGGGAAUGAGAGCCAAGUCACUUUGAUAGCAGAGGAAGUUGGUGGUGCUGUUGCAGCAGCUCCACUUGAUGCGCAGAUUGAGCUCUUCAAUGCGCUAGUUGAAGGAUGCAGGGAAGCUGUUGAAUUAGGAAAUAUAGAACCUAAGGGACCAUUAUUAGAUUUCUUUGGUGUUCCUGUUAAGGCAAAUGAUCUGAUUAAUCGUGUCCAAGAACUUCAGCUCUUAGCAAAACGAAUAAGUCGAUACGAGGAUCCCAUAAAACAGUUCCGUGUGUUGAUGUACCUUAAACCCUCUAAUUGGUCUAAAGGGUGUGGGUGGAAUCAGAUUGAUGAUGCAAGAUUGCUUCUGGGAAUAUACUACCAUGGAUUUGGUAAUUGGGAAAAGAUAAGAUUAGAUGAAAGGCUUGGCCUCACAAAGAAGAUUGCUCCUGCUGAACUUCAGCACCAUGAAACCUUUCUGCCACGUGCACCUAAUUUGAAGGAGCGUGCUAAUGCACUCUUGGAAAUGGAACUUGCAGCUGUUGGUGGUAAGAAUGCUGGUGUCAAAGCUGGUCGUAAACCUUCAAAGAAGGAAAAGCAGAAUCCUCUAAACGUAUCUAUAUCUCGUGUCAGAGACAAGAAAGGUAAACCGGGUUCUACUAAGGUCAGUUUUAAAAUGGGUAGGGACAAAACCGAGAGACCACAGAAAGUUGAACCUUUAGUUAAAGAAGAAGGUGAAAUGUCUGACAACGAGGAAGUAUAUGAGCAGUUUAAGGAAGUGAAGUGGAUGGAAUGGUGUGAAGAUGUUAUGAUUGAUGAAAUAAAAACCCUUCGUCGGCUCCAAAGAUUGCAGACUACUAGUGCAGAUCUUCCCAAGGAUAAGGUACUUUCGAAAAUUCGGAACUAUUUGCAGCUUCUUGGAAGGAGGAUAGAUCAAAUUGUCUUAGAACAUGAAGACGAGCUCUAUAGACAAGAUCGGAUGACCAUGCGUUUAUGGAACUAUGUCUCUACAUUUUCAAAUCUUUCUGGUGAGAGGCUUCAUCAGAUUUAUUCGAAGCUUAAGCAGGAACAGGACGAUGAUGGAGGUGUUGGACCUUCCCAUAUGAACGGUUCCACACCUGGCCAUGUUGAUAGAGACGGUGAUCCUAAUUUCUUCCCUCCUUUUUCACGUUCUACCGAUAAGCAACGAGGGUAUAAGAAGAAUGCAACGGCACAUCAAACAUCACAACCGAUUCAUAAAGGCAUCGAUACCGCAAAGUUUGAAGCUUGGAAACGAUGGAGAGCAGAAACGGUUAACCAUCCUCAACUUCAACCCCCAACUCAAAGACCUCUGAACAAUGGUAGUACUCGUGUAGUAGACCCAAACUCAUUGGGGAUUCUUGGGGCAGGACCAUCUGAUAAACGUCUUGUUAAUACCGAACGGCCAUUUCGGAUGCGUCAAACUGGAUUUCCACAAAGGCAAGGUUUUCCCUCAGGCAUCAAGUAAAAGCUUUUAAGCACUGUGCUGGAUGAUAGUCGAUAGAAAAUGAAAUACGCCGAUUUGCUUCGACCAUGUGGCAUUGACUGCUUCAGCCAUUGAAUACUUUCAGCGAUUCUUUUUUCACCAUGGGAAUAAAAAUCUGCUAUCCGAAUCUUUAUGGCUGGAUCGGACAAGUUAUCCACCAGAUGGGAGUUGCAUCGAUGUAAAAAGACGGCUCAUGAAGAACACAAAAGAUCGACUAACAUGAGCAGACAGGGAAUUGCAGUGACCUCGCAACCAUUUUUUUCUCCGACCUUUUUUGUUUUCCGAACCUUCGGUAGCAUAAUUGAUACAGCAAGGGGGUUCUUUGUCCCUGUGGAGAUCUGAGUGACAGUUUUUGAGAAUUUCAGAGGUCAUGGAAAAAUAGAUUUUGUAUCAUUACAACAUAUGUCAAGUGGAAGUGCGUUGAUGUAUGCAGCCAAGGCUUCUUAUUAAAUCAAUUGAUUUGAACCUUAUUUUUACAUGACCCGAUCAAUUCGACCAAGUGUUCAUUAUUUAUUUCCAUUGUUAAACUCUUUGAUUACAUAAACUUUGAGUUUAUCAGUUAUUAAAGAAAGUAUGGAAUUGAUCGGUUAAA